AUCUCCCUUUUUUCUCUUUUCUUUCUUUUUUUCUCUUUUCUUUUUUCUCUUUUCUCUUUUCUUUCUUUUUUCUUUUUUAUCUUUUCUUUCUUUUUUCUUUCUUUUUCUUUUCUUUUUUUUUGUCUCCAGGAAUUGCUUUUAGGAACCAUCCCCUGAGUUUUAAAGGACCGAAAAAGGACUUUCCAAGCCAGGGUGAGACCCCUCCUGGGUGCCCCCAGCAGGCGCUGGCUCGGCUGUCGGCAUGAGCAUGGCUCCGGGAGGUCGAAACGAGAUCUGCCUGCGGGAAAUCGGUUAACCCCUGUGGUGUUGCUCUGUGUCAGCUGCACGUAAGGACACUCUGCAGCAGGUUUAAAACUCAGCCAUGUUUCAUAACUCAGAGGAGUCUUUGAAGGUGUGUCCCAGAGCUGUGCUUCGAGCAGAAGGAAAGAGGCUUUGAGGAUCUCACCCUCUUCACACAGGACAACUGGCAACUUAGCUACUUCAAAGGAGAUAAAAAGGUCAUUAAAAAUUACUUCUUGACCAAAUGGAAAAUGAUAAUGAGGGUCACUUGGUCCUCUCCUCUGCUUUUGAAACCUGUAGUUUUUAAAUUUCAGAAAUUAGUUGGAAAUGUACUUUUGUCACAAGGCACCUCUAACACUUUGCUGUCUGCCGUUCACACAAGUGCUUGGCAUUUUCAAGGUGGUGAUGCUGGGGAAAAUCUAAAGCUGUGGACCUGCAACCAAAGGCUGUGCUCUUAAAAUGGCAAAAUAUGUGACCACUCGUGGUGGGUCUGCACUCUAAAGCAGGAUUUGAUGAGUCACACAAGGACCCUUCCGGGCUGCCUCAGGCUGGAGAUGCCCAUGGCUGGAAGGAGCCCGGUGUCAGUGUGUGGGCUGUGUAGCCAGUCUGCCUGGCUUGCUCGAUCCAGAGCUACCUCCGGGCUGCCAGUCAUCUGCUUCAUCUUUGUGGAUGCAGGCUGGGGUUGAUAGGUUCAUUUCACUAGGGCAAGGACAUAUCCACAGAAGCCCAGGAAUGCACCAUAGCGUACCCAUCAAGGCCUCCAGAAGAAUCAAAAAGCACGUGGAGGCCCUGGGGGAGACCAAGGGCCCGUGGAGGCCCCUGGGCACACAGAAAGGCCAAGAGGCCCUGGGAUGCAUCAAAAGGCACAUGGAGGCCUUUCGGCACAGAGAAGGGCCUGUGGAUGGGCCUGUGGCACUCGGAAGAGCACAUCGAGGCCCUGAGUCCACUAGAAGGCCCAUGGAGCUCCCGGGGAGCACUGAAAGAAGGCCCUGGGGUGCACCAAAAGGCACGCAGGGGCUCUGUGGCCCCGUGAAUGGCCCGCAGAAGCCCUGAGGGACACUGAAAGGCACGUGGAGACUCCUGGGGCUCACCAGAAGGCCAACAGAGGUCCUGGGUAGCACCAAAAAGCCCCCAGAGGCCAUGGAGCACCUGAAAAGUCACUCAGAAGCCCUGGGGCACACUGAAAAGCCAUCAGAGGCCCUGGGACACACCAAGCAGACCACGGAGGACCUGUGAAGAAACCUUCUGUGGCGUUUUUGUUUUUAUUUUAUUUUCUAUUUUAUUUUAUCUUCCCCAGAGGUUAUAAAAGAAUGUCAGGAUAAAAAACUAGGAAGGGGUGUGUGUUUUGUUUGUGAAGUUGCUCUGGAAAGGAGUUACUGAUAGCAACCCAAAUCUUCUGUGAUUGCCUACAGAGACUCUUUUGGGUAAAUCUGCUCCAAUUACUCCAUGAGACUUAGAGCUAUUUCUUCUUGCUGAGGAAAAGUGAAUUCAUUAGGUUGUGAAACUUAGCAGUCUUGAAUAGUAUGUGAUAAAGCAGGAUCUUGUGGUAUGUAACUUCAUUAGAUCCUAUCCCCAUUAAAUAAAAGUUGGCUCUUUGG